UGACGAACGCUGGCGGCGUGCUUAACACAUGCAAGUCGAACGGAAAGGCCCUUCGGGGUACUCGAGUGGCGAACGGGUGAGUAACACGUGGGUGAUCUGCCCUGCACUUUGGGAUAAGCCUGGGAAACUGGGUCUAAUACCGAAUAGGACCGCAUGCUUCAUGGUGUGUGGUGGAAAGCUUUUGCGGUGUGGGAUGGGCCCGCGGCCUAUCAGCUUGUUGGUGGGGUAAUGGCCUACCAAGGCGACGACGGGUAGCCGGCCUGAGAGGGUGUCCGGCCACACUGGGACUGAGAUACGGCCCAGACUCCUACGGGAGGCAGCAGUGGGGAAUAUUGCACAAUGGGCGCAAGCCUGAUGCAGCGACGCCGCGUGAGGGAUGACGGCCUUCGGGUUGUAAACCUCUUUCAGCAGGGACGAAGCGCAAGUGACGGUACCUGUAGAAGAAGCACCGGCCAACUACGUGCCAGCAGCCGCGGUAAUACGUAGGGUGCGAGCGUUGUCCGGAAUUACUGGGCGUAAAGAGCUCGUAGGUGGUUUGUCGCGUUGUUCGUGAAAACUCACAGCUCAACUGUGGGCGUGCGGGCGAUACGGGCAGACUUGAGUACUGCAGGGGAGACUGGAAUUCCUGGUGUAGCGGUGGAAUGCGCAGAUAUCAGGAGGAACACCGGUGGCGAAGGCGGGUCUCUGGGCAGUAACUGACGCUGAGGAGCGAAAGCGUGGGGAGCGAACAGGAUUAGAUACCCUGGUAGUCCACGCCGUAAACGGUGGGUACUAGGUGUGGGUUUCCUUCCUUGGGAUCCGUGCCGUAGCUAACGCAUUAAGUACCCCGCCUGGGGAGUACGGCCGCAAGGCUAAAACUCAAAGAAAUUGACGGGGGCCCGCACAAGCGGCGGAGCAUGUGGAUUAAUUCGAUGCAACGCGAAGAACCUUACCUGGGUUUGACAUGCACAGGACGCCGGCAGAGAUGUCGGUUCCCUUGUGGCCUGUGUGCAGGUGGUGCAUGGCUGUCGUCAGCUCGUGUCGUGAGAUGUUGGGUUAAGUCCCGCAACGAGCGCAACCCUUGUCUCAUGUUGCCAGCACGUAAUGGUGGGGACUCGUGAGAGACUGCCGGGGUCAACUCGGAGGAAGGUGGGGAUGACGUCAAGUCAUCAUGCCCCUUAUGUCCAGGGCUUCACACAUGCUACAAUGGCCGGUACAAAGGGCUGCGAUGCCGUGAGGUGGAGCGAAUCCUUUCAAAGCCGGUCUCAGUUCGGAUCGGGGUCUGCAACUCGACCCCGUGAAGUCGGAGUCGCUAGUAAUCGCAGAUCAGCAACGCUGCGGUGAAUACGUUCCCGGGCCUUGUACACACCGCCCGUCACGUCAUGAAAGUCGGUAACACCCGAAGCCGGUGGCCUAACCCC
rnacentral:rRNA from 1 species